GAUGAACGCUGGCAGAAUGCUUAACACAUGCAAGUCGACCUGAACUGCGGUUCGGGUGGCGGACGCGUGAGUGACGCGUAGGGAACUUACCUCACAGCUAGGGACAACAGUUUGAAACGAAUGCUAAUACCUGAUAUUAUAAUUAUAUGGCAUAGCAUAAUUAUGAAAGCUAUAUGCGCUGUGUGAGAGCUUUGGGUUCUAUUAGCUCGUCGGAGAGGUAACGGCUAACAAUGGUGAUGAUGGGUAGCCGGCCUGGGUGGGUGACCGGCAACAAGGGAAUGGGGAAAGGGCCCUUACUCCUAGGGGAGGAAGCGGUGGGAAAUAUUGACAAAGGGACCGAGAGUCUGAUACAGCAAUUCUGUGUGCAAGAUGAAGUUUUUCGGAAUGAAAAGUGCUUGCAGUUGAGAAGAAGAAAAUGACGGUACCAACAGAAGAAGCACCGGCUAACUACGUG
rnacentral:rRNA from 1 species